rnacentral:lncRNA from 1 species
AGAGAGUUUAAAUUAGGGUUGUCAUGCUGAUUAUAAGUGAAACUAGUUAAUCAAUUAUUGAAGGAAUUGUAUAAAUGUUUCAUAACCAAUUAUUAAUGGAAACUGAUAUUUUAGGAAAAUACUGUUUAUUCAUAUAAUCUAAUUUUAAUUGAAUAAACUGAUUUUUCUGUGCAGAAUGUUAUGCUUCUCUGCCUAAAAAUGCUGCAGUUUGCAAUGUGACAUGCCUAAUUUAGACAGGCAAGUUACAUUCUUCUCCAACGAACAUUUUCUAAUAUUAACAGAUAUUCAUGACAAUAAUUUCAAUUUUUAACCAUCAUGGAUAGAGUAGAUUCUGUAAUACUAAAAUUUUAAAUUUCACUUUUCAAAUAGUUGCAAUUAUCAAUGAUAUGACAAAGUCAGUUUUAGUCUUAAAAAUCACUUUCUGUACCUGACAAGGAGUAAAACAGAAAACAGUCACAGAUGCAGUUUUGGUCAAAAUCCUCUGGAUGAUUUUGAUAGAGGUCACUUGGCUAAUCCUAUAGAAUUACUGUAACUUCUCUAACUUUGUUUCCCUCUGUAGUACUUUUCAACAUGAUUGAACUAGCAAAAGCACUUUGAGUUAUUUGCCAGAACUUCCUGUUACUGUGUAGAAAUUUCUAGUCGUCUUUCUUGCGUUAUGUGUGCAAUACAUGUGCUUGUUCACUUCAUCUAAUAACUAUGUAGAUUAGUGUAAAUAAUGUUAAUUUCAUUAGUUAUCUUGUUAUUGUCUCUUUAUCAAGAUAAUUAUUUUGUUACUGGUUGCUGUUCUUUUCACUGUCUUUUAUAUGUUGCUGGUCAGUUUCUGAAAGUUUCCCUCUCUGCCAAUGAAAGUCAUCCACUUCUAAUUGACAGAGAGGGAAAAACUUUGCUUUUAUUGGACUCCUCAAUGGUUAUUUUCACAUCACUCCCAAUACAACUCUCUCUAGAAAGUAAUAGGCUUAGUAGGAAAAGUGUAGAAAAAAAUUGGUGAUAAUAAAACAAAAGUGUCAUACCUCUUUUAACGGUGGAUCUUCAUUUACAUUAGUAUUUUCUCAUUUUUUGGAAAAAAAAUAGCAAAAAUGGAGUAAAAAAUCAAUAAUGG